CCAAUACUACACCGUACAUGCACACACAUACUCUAUACAACAACAUGCUCACAUUCAAAUUUACAAACACUGCUCACAAAUACAGCCCUGCAAGAAUGACCAAAUGGUAGAUCCCCAACUGGCAUAGCAUCGUGGGAAUUGUACAACAGAUGAGGAUCUAUCUUUUCUCCAUUAUUGUGCUAGAUGGGAGGCCCAAAAAAAUGUCUUGCACCUGGGCCUUCUCUACAUUAGUUAUGCCACUGUAUUGGGGUGGAGGGCAUGACUGCAUGCCAGGGGGUGGAAAUGUGUGGAGGGGAAGGGCAGGAUCCAGGGGGCCCAAGCAAAUGCUUGCCCAGGGUCCAAUCAAUGUUAAAGACAGCCCUGAACAA